CCAAAAUUAUGCAAAUUAAUUAUGUUACUUAAGAUGUCUAGUCAUGUAUUAUUUUACCUAGUUAAGUAUGUAUAUGUUAGUAACUUGAUUAGAAGGAAGGUUAUAUGACAAAUAAAAUAUCUAAGUAAAUAGGAGGACUAAACUUGUUAAAAGGUUGAAAGUUUAAUAAAUAAAAGAAAAAAAUAAAAACACACACCCUGGUGUGAUGGCGUGGAUCGAUCAGAGCAAAGGGGGGAGAAGACAAACCCUAACUUCAUGAAAUUCUCAAGAAUUGAAAGAGAAUAGGAGCCCAAACUAAUGCAUGAACUCGAAACCUCAAUCAUCUAAGCUUGUACAACAAGCGGAACGUGUCAAGGAGAGGUCAAGCAUAGGAGGAUAACGGGUCAAGAUAAGGCAAGAUGACAAAUACACGUAUUGGAGUACUCGAGGUAAGUGAAUUUCGAUUCACUUUUUAGUAGGUUUAAUAGAUUUUAAUACUUAUGUUUACGAAACAUCAUGAAAGAACAUGUAAUAAUCAGAAGUACAAAGCCAAUAAUGCCUCAUUAUUGAAGAAGGUUGUAUUUAAGCCGAAAGUAAAUUGGUGGGUUUAAACGGGUCGAAUUUUAUGUGCAUAUGUUGCGUAAUGAAAUGAAAUUCGUUAUGGUUAAGACCUUGGGUAAGAAUUUUAGUCAUUAUGUAAGGGGAACAUUUCCCGGACCAUUAGGGACAAGUUUUAUAUGAUUCGGUUGUCGGUCAAUGAAUGAACGGAUUGUUUCGUUUUAGUGUAGGAAAUUUUAUAAGUAUAUGUGUAUAGGAAUCCAAAGGCCACGUGGGUUGAAUCGUAGAUUGUCUAUACUAUGUAAAGUUUUGAAUGUGACAUUCCGGCAUAAACCUACAUGUAAAAGAAGCUUGUGUAUAUAUUCGUGAUUAAUUGAUUUUGCGAAGGAAGGAACAUUGGCAUGAAUGAAGGUACGCACAUAUAUAUAUAAGUGUAUAUAUAUAUAUAUAUAUGUAUGUAUGUAUGAUAAUAAGUUCGUAGGUGUGAAUGUAUGUGUGAAUGAAUGUUCAAUGCUUAAGACAUAUGCAUGAACGUAUCAAAGGGUUCGAGUAUUUAUGGAUACUAAUGAUGUGCGUUGAGUUGGAAUGUAAUGUAGGUAUGGGGUCGUUGGCUUCAUGAAGAAAUGGAGCUGGAUUUGGAUAAGAGUAUUUAAGAAACCGCUUGGACAAUUCCACGACUACUUUAUAGAAUGCUCUACGAAAUUUUAUUAUAUAGUUUAAUGUUGAAUGGUAUGUUAAUAACUAAUGGUUUGGUUGUACGUGGUGUCCACAGGUAUCGCUUGGGUUUUCUCUACUUUUAUUGAAGUGAAGCGGACUUAGUUCGAGUUGAGAGCAAGGAUUGUACGGGGUAGAAUGGUCACAUAGUGUAACUCAUAUAGGUUUUGAAGUAUUAAUGUUAUAAAACGUUAUAAAUCCGUUUUAAUGAAUAUAUGGCAUUUCGCAUUUGAACUUUCAUGUGUUUGAUAUGUCUAUUAAAGAACGAAAUUUUUGGGCUCUUGUUUUCCGCUGCGUCGUAUUUUAAGUUAUUACGCGUUAGUCUUACAGGGAAUUGUUCUUAUUACGAACGGGUCAUGCCCGAAUUUUGUUAAAUAAUAGUAUGAUAAUAUUACAUUUUGGAAUGUGUAAUUUGGGCGUAACAAGUUGGUAUCAGAGCCCUGGUUUGAGAGAAUUAAGUACGAGAGUAUAAGUACUUGAACUCAAACCUGUGUGCUCUUGUGAUAAGGAACCCGUACAAUCCAUGACUCGAUCAAGAUCUAAAGGUAGAAAUGGAACGAAAAUGUGUAAGUAUGUAUUAGAUUAUGUAUUUGAAAGAAACUAAUAGUGUGUUAUGUGCAAGGUAAGCUUAAGAUCUUGAAGAGGAUGAUCCGUGAAUACAGAAUGGGAUGAACGCUAAGGCGGGCAAAGGGGCAAAUAGGCAAAUUAACCCCAGGUACACAUUACUAAUAUGUAUGAGUACCGAUGUCAAAAGAAAAAGGAAGGGGUCUCCUUGGGAGGGAAAUUAUUAAACGAAAGACAAUGAUGUGGUCUUGGGGAAGUUUUAGAAAUGUGCACGAAACUGAAACCCAUUUCUCGGGCAUAAGGCGAUGAUUACACGAAGGCACGAAACUAGUGUGUGAAUUGCGCACCUGGCCAGUACGCAAGAAGCAUAUGACGUUCGUGAGACCGUGGCAAUUAUUGCAGGUAUGUCCGGUAGAACUGGGUAGCAGGUGGGCGCUAUGUUGUAGCGAAUCCGAAAUAGCAAAUCCAUUGCGGAUUUGGUUAUGCUAACGAAGGUUAUGAAAAGUUAUGCGAGUCAACCGGUUCUAGCGAACAAGUCGAAUAAGAAUAAGCUACCAUCCGUUUUGAACGGGUGAUUUUGAAUGCUCUAGUGAAUGCUAGAAGCUUAAUCCGUUAUACGGAUUGAAAGAAGAAGUUAUGAUUAAAUGUGAAAAACCCAAUUAUUUGGGUAGUGGAAAAUGUGUAUGCUUAACUCUCGUUGAGAGUGUUUAUGCCAAACCCAAUUAUUUGGGUAGUGGAAUGUGUAUGCUUAACUCUCGUUGAGAGUGUUUAUGCCAAACCCAAUUAUUUGGGUAGUGGAAUGUGUAUGCUUAACUCUCGUUGAGAGUGUUUAUGCCAAACCCAAUUAUUUGGGUAGUGGAAUGUGUAUGCUUAACUCUCGUUGAGAGUGUUUAUGCCAAACCCAAUUAUUUGGGUAGUCGAAUGUGUAUGCUUAACUCUCUUUGAGAGUGUUUAUGCCAAACCCAAUUACUUGGGUAGCCGAAUGUGUAAGAAAGAAGAAAGCUCAUAUGUGGAUGGAACUAAAAUGAAGUGAUUAUGAUUCGACAACUGAGAUGACUAACUUUAAAAUCUUGUUGCCGAAGGUAGGUAAAACUUUAAGUUUUUGCUAGAGCACAUGUAAGAAAGAAAAGGUACGAAUGAUAUGUUUGAAGCCGAUAGUGUGUAAGUUAAGAUUUUUCCUUAAGGCGGAUGUGGGAUUUUAAGUUCAUAUGAUAGAAUGUGAAUUUACAAGCGUGUAGGAAGAAACGGGAGGUUAAACGGGUAAACGGUUCAAAAGACACGCGCGUUUUAGUGCGUUCGGACGACGAAACGGAUCUGCAGUAAAGGGACUUUUCUAGAGGCCGUCGCCGACGGGUUCCCACCCCGUCGCCGACGGGCUCCCAAAAGUGUGAAAGAGGCCGACGGCCUAACCGACUGGUUACGGGUUAAAUUGGACGACGGGCAUUUUAAGAGGCCGUCGCCGACGGGUGCCCACCCCGUCGCCGACGGGCUGUCUAGCCCACUUCUCCGUUUUGCUUAAUUUUGCAUUUCCAAAUGAUCCGUAACGCAUUCCGAUGAUUCGUAAAGUUUCUUAUGAGCAUAUAGGGAUGUACAUAAGUAGAUAAGCGUGUAAGUAUGUUUAUAUGUAACCGUAUAUGUACGUAGAACUUAUGCAAGUAGGUAUGCGCGAAAGUAUGUAAGUUUAUAGUGUGGGAACAAGUACUAGUUAUGUAUGUAUAAAUGUGUAUGUAUAGAUAUCGGUUUAUGUAGGUACGCAAGUAUUUAUAUAAGAGCACAAGCAUCAUGCGAAUGAAUAUGAAAAUGUGUACGUAUGUAUGCAUGAUGAUAUGUAUGAGCGUAUGCAUGUAUGCGAAAAAUAUAGGAAAUGUGUGUACAUAUGUAGAUGUAUAAAUAUAUGAGUAUGUAAGUACAUAUAUGAUGUAUGAGUAGAAUGAAAUAAAUCGAUUUAUUUCGAUUAGUAAAUGUAUGAAUGUAAUAUGCUUAAAUAGGAAAUUAGAAACAAGCCGUAGACUUAAGUUUGUAUGAAUAAUAAUUGUAUACAAUUGGAAUAGAUUCAAUGAAUGAAAUGCAAGGGAUGAUAUGUGCUAGAAACUAGCAAUAUGAAAUGAAGGACACUAAUAAGAGCUCUGGAGCAGAAUCUAACAUAAGUAUAGUUAUGAAAGUAACUUACUUAUUAUAAGGGCAUAGGAACGAUGUGUAUGAUUACGUACAUACAUGAAUUAAACAUUUGCCAAGAUCCCAAAUGCGUUUAGGUUGUAGUAAGUAUAGUGGAUGAACAACUUGAAAGAGGUAAGAGUAGAAUGGUCUAGUUUGAAUGAGAAAGGUUUCGGGGACGAAACCUCUUUUAAAGGGGGGUAGACUUGUAACGCCCCAAAAUUAUGCAAAUUAAUUAUGUUACUUAAGAUGUCUAGUCAUGUAUUAUUUUACCUAGUUAAGUAUGUAUAUGUUAGUAACUUGAUUAGAAGGAAGGUUAUAUGACAAAUAAAAUAUCUAAGUAAAUAGGAGGACUAAACUUGUUAAAAGGUUGAAAGUUUAAUAAAUAAAAGAAAAAAAUAAAAACACACACCCUGGUGUGAUGGCGUGGAUCGAUCAGAGCAAAGGGGGGAGAAGACAAACCCUAACUUCAUGAAAUUCUCAAGAAUUGAAAGAGAAUAGGAGCCCAAACUAAUGCAUGAACUCGAAACCUCAAUCAUCUAAGCUUGUACAACAAGCGGAACGUGUCAAGGAGAGGUCAAGCAUAGGAGGAUAACGGGUCAAGAUAAGGCAAGAUGACAAAUACACGUAUUGGAGUACUCGAGGUAAGUGAAUUUCGAUUCACUUUUUAGUAGGUUUAAUAGAUUUUAAUACUUAUGUUUACGAAACAUCAUGAAAGAACAUGUAAUAAUCAGAAGUACAAAGCCAAUAAUGCCUCAUUAUUGAAGAAGGUUGUAUUUAAGCCGAAAGUAAAUUGGUGGGUUUAAACGGGUCGAAUUUUAUGUGCAUAUGUUGCGUAAUGAAAUGAAAUUCGUUAUGGUUAAGACCUUGGGUAAGAAUUUUAGUCAUUAUGUAAGGGGAACAUUUCCCGGACCAUUAGGUACAAGUUUUAUAUGAUUCGGUUGUCGGUCAAUGAAUGAACGGAUUGUUUCGUUUUAGUGUAGGAAAUUUUAUAAGUAUAUGUGUAUAGGAAUCCAAAGGCCACGUGGGUUGAAUCGUAGAUUGUCUAUACUAUGUAAAGUUUUGAAUGUGACAUUCCGGCAUAAACCUACAUGUAAAAGAAGCUUGUGUAUAUAUUCGUGAUUAAUUGAUUGUGCGAAGGAAGGAACAUUGGCAUGAAUGAAGGUACGCACAUAUAUAUAUAAGUGUAUAUAUAUAUAUAUAUGUAUGUAUGUAUGAUAAUAAGUUCGUAGGUGUGAAUGUAUGUGUGAAUGAAUGUUCAAUGCUUAAGACAUAUGCAUGAACGUAUCAAAGGGUUCGAGUAUUUAUGGAUACUAAUGAUGUGCGUUGAGUUGGAAUGUAAUGUAGGUAUGGGGUCGUUGGCUUCAUGAAGAAAUGGAGCUGGAUUUGGAUAAGAGUAUUUAAGAAAGCGCUUGGACAAUUCCACGACUACUUUAUAGAAUGCUCUACGAAAUUUUAUUAUAUAGUUUAAUGUUGAAUGGUAUGUUAAUAACUAAUGGUUUGGUUGUACGUGGUGUCCACAGGUAUCGCUUGGGUUUUCUCUACUUUUAUUGAAGUGAAGCGGACUUAGUUCGAGUUGAGAGCAAGGAUUGUACGGGGUAGAAUGGUCACAUAGUGUAACUCAUAUAGGUUUUGAAGUAUUAAUGUUAUAAAACGUUAUAAAUCCGUUUUAAUGAAUAUAUGGCAUUUCGCAUUUGAA